rnacentral:lncRNA from 1 species
AGAUGAGGAGACAGAAGCACAGAGAGGGUGAGCAAGCUGCCCAAGGUAAUGGGCUGUUUAGACUUGGAGCCUUCCAAAAGCUGAAGACACUGAUGUUAACAACUGCUGAUGAGUGGCUGGGAAAGGCUGAAGAUUUUACUUUAAAGACAAUUAGCCCUGAGCUAACAUCUGCCACCAGUUCUCCUCUUUUUCGCUGAGGAAGAUUGGCCCUGAGCUAACAUCCGUGCUCAUCUUCCUCUACUUUGCAUGUGGGACUCCUGCCACAGCAUGGCGUGCUAAGCGGUGCAUAGGUCUGCACCUGAGAUCCGAACUGGGGAGCCCAGUCCACUGAAGCAGAGUGCAUGAACUUAUCGUUGAGCCACCAGUGUGAACCUGGAAAGUAGAGUAAAGAAGGAGGUCAGAAGGAUAUUCUCAUGUGGGCUGAAGGCUGGAUCAAACACAUCCAGAAGAUUCUCGUAGCUUUGUCCGUGUUCUUCAUGUGUUCCUGCCCAUCCAAUCGAAGUCCUUUGGCUCAGGGUUACCCGCGGUCAACAGCAGUCCGUGGUCCAGGUGAUCCUCCUCCUGAAGUAUCCUCAGAAGUAUCCUAAUGCUAUGUCCCAAUGCCAGCAUCAUUCGCCUCACUUCAUCUCGUCACAUAAGCCUUGUGUCAUCUCACAUCCUCACAAGAAGGACACUGCUCUGUCGGAAAUCAGGACGUCCUCAGCUGAUAAAGGGGAUCAGAAUAUGCCACUCCAAAAUAUGCUACUUUGGCUUAAGGAUUAUUUUGAGCUGAAGGCAAUUAAGAAAUAGCAGACACAGAAGACUCUCCAUCCUCAUCCUUCCUGCCUAAAAGCAGGGCUCACAUUUCCCUUUGUAAAAGUGGCAUAAAUUUCCGUUUGUAAAGGUGUCUGUCUCUCCAGCACCAGGAAGAGACCACUUUUAAUCACCGGAGAUGACUCUUAUCACUGAGACAGCACAGACUUGAGUCUGCAGAACAAACUUGACACAACAACUUUCAUCUACCAUACCUUUUCUACUCACCUUAGAAUUUACUGCCUCUAGAAGCCCAAACAACCCCCCCCCCUUUCCUUUGUUUAAUCACUUCUCCACAGUUUAUCUCCGGUUGUUAAAAAGGUACAUAUGCCCUUGGGUUGACCUCCUCUUUGGGUUUUCACUUUUUCUGUGAAGCUUUCAUGUGCAGGCAAAAUAAAACUUUCUCCUGUUAAUCUGUCUUUUGUCGGUUUAAUUCA